GACGAACGCUGGCGGCGUGCUUAACACAUGCAAGUCGAACGGAAAGGCCCUGCUUUUGUGGGGGUGCUCGAGUGGCGAACGGGUGAGUAACACGUGAGUAACCUGCCCUUGACUUUGGGAUAACUUCAGGAAACUGGGGCUAAUACCGGAUAGGAGCUCCUGCUGCAUGGUGGGGGUUGGAAAGUUUCGGCGGUUGGGGAGGGACUCGCGGCUUAUCAGCUUGUUGGUGGGGUAGUGGCUUACAAGGCUUUGACGGGUAGCCGGCCUGAGAGGGUGACCGGCCACAUUGGGACUGAGAUACGGCCCAGACUCCUACGGGAGGCAGCAGUGGGGAAUAUUGCACAAUGGGCGGAAGCCUGAUGCAGCAACGCCGCGUGCGGGAUGACGGCCUUCGGGUUGUAAACCGCUUUCGCCUGUGACGAAGCGUGAGUGACGGUAAUGGGUAAAGAAGCACCGGCUAACUACGUG
rnacentral:rRNA from 1 species